rnacentral:rRNA from 1 species
UACAGGAAGGGGGCUAGCGUUGCUCGGAAUGACUGGGCGUAAAGGGCGCGUAGGCGGAUGGCACAGUCAGAUGUGAAAUUCCCGGGCUUAACCUGGGGGCUGCAUUUGAUACGUGUUGUCUAGAGUGAGGAAGAGGGUUGUGGAAUUCCCAGUGUAGAGGUGAAAUUCGUAGAUAUUGGGAAGAACACCGGUGGCGAAGGCGGCUACCUGGACCGGUUCUGACGCUGAGGCGCGAAAGCGUGGGUAGCAAACAGG